rnacentral:rRNA from 1 species
UACGGAGGGGGCUAGCGUUGUUCGGAAUCACUGGGCGUAAAGGGUGCGUAGGUGGCGUGGUAAGUCAGAUGUGAAAGCCCAGGGCUCAACCCCGGAAUUGCAUCCGAUACUACCAUGCUAGAGUACUGAAGAGGUGACUAGAAUUCUCGGUGUAGCAGUGAAAUGCGUAGAUAUCGAGAGGAAUACCAAAGGCGAAGGCAGGUCACUGGGUAGUUACUGACACUGAGGCACGAAGGCUAGGGGAGCAAACGGG